GACGAACGCUGGCGGCGUGCCUAACACAUGCAAGUCGAACGGUGAAGGGAUCAGCUUGCUGGUUCUGGAUGAGUGGCGAACGGGUGAGUAACACGUGAGUAACCUGCCCCCUUCUUCUGGAUAACCGCAUGAAAGUGUGGCUAAUACGGGAUAUUCUGCGCCUGCUGCAUGGUGGGUGUGGGUAAGGUAUUGUUUCGGUGGGGGAUGGGCUCGCCGCCUAUCAGCGUGUUGGUGGUGUGAUGGCCUAGCAAGGCGGUGACGAGUAGCCGGUCGGAGAGGGAGGAAGGUCACACUGGGACUGAGACACAGACCAGACUGCGACGGGAGGGAGCAGUGGAGAAGAUUGCACGAGGGGGGCUAGCCUGAUGCAGCGACGCCGCGUGAGAGAGGGUGGCCUUCGGAUUGUGAACCUCUUUCGCAAGUGAAGCAGGCCUGUAACUUGUGGGUGGGUUGACGGUAGCUGGAUAAGAAGCGCCGGCUAACUACGUG
rnacentral:rRNA from 1 species